rnacentral:rRNA from 1 species
AGUGAACGCUGGCGGUAGGCCUAACACAUGCAAGUCGAACGGCAGCACAGUAAGAGCUUGCUCUUACGGGUGGCGAGUGGCGGACGGGUGAGGAAUACAUCGGAAUCUACUUUUUCGUGGGGGAUAACGUAGGGAAACUUACGCUAAUACCGCAUACGACCUACGGGUGAAAGCAGGGGAUCUUCGGACCUUGCGCGAUUGAAUGAGCCGAUGUCGGAUUAGCUAGUUGGCGGGGUAAAGGCCCACCAAGGCGACGAUCCGUAGCUGGUCUGAGAGGAUGAUCAGCCACACUGGGACUGAGACACGGUCCAGACUCCUACGGGAGGCAGCAGUGGGGAAUAUUGGACAAUGGGCGCAAGCCUGAUCCAGCCAUACCGCGUGGGUGAAGAAGGCCGUCGGGUUGUAAAGCCUUUUUGUUGGGAAAGAAAAGCAGCAGGUUAAUACCCCGCUGUUCUGACGGUACCCAAAGAAUAAGCACCGGCUAACUUCGUG